rnacentral:misc_RNA from 1 species
AUAUUAAAAUAUUGCAAAAUCGGAGAUACUUAAAGUCGACAAGACCCUUUUUUUGUAUACUAUUUUGUUGUCUCAUAUAGCCCUGGUCAAUACCAACUUUCUUAUCUUAAGUGGAACACCCCUUUUAUUUAACUAGUUAAAAGCCUCUAAAACUAAUUCUACUAAAAAUAGAAAAAAACGGAUUUCACUUUUCUAUUCUUACUUUGGUAUUUAUUUUAAUUAACUUUUUUGCCGUUCACUGUAUAUCAUGGAUUGGAAAUGUGCAUGUUGGAACAGGGUGUCCCAAAUUCGAGGGUGAUCAUUGGGAUCUCAGAAACCAUAAGAGUUAGAGAGUCGGUUAAAUGGAGGCAAAGUUGCGCAAUUUGGAGCUUAAUAAAAUGACGGGGACAAUGUCAUUACUAGAUGGCCUGACCGCCCGAAAUACCAACAUAAUCCAAACCCUCAAAGGUCACACCAGUGACGUCAAUUGCUGCGACUUCGCACCAAAUUUCACAUUGGUCACUGGAUCAAGUGAUAAAACAGUUCGAAUAUGGGACUGGCACAAAGGUUCGGGAUACGUGGAGCGUCCAAACUCCCCAUUACGUGCCCACAAGUACCAAGUAACUUGCGUGAAAAUAUCACCGCAAGGUUCCAUGAUGGCCACCUCUUCGGUGGACGGUACCGCCCUACUCUGGAACCUACACUCUUUAAGCAAAUUGUACACCAUGACCCAGGUGAACGGGGAUCCUAUACGUGUAUGUUGCUUUUCUCCUGAUAGUACUUUGUUGGUUACGGCCGGGGAUAAUGGUGCCGUGUGUAUUUGGGAUUUGGUGCAUAGGACAUUAACCAGAACUCUAUUUGAACACGACGGCACAACCCAGGGUCUAGCCUUCACUCCAGACAGUCAGUAUUUAGUGACAGCAUGUACCUUAGAAGUGGUGAAGAUUUGGAACCUACAAGACCUGAUAGAUACAACGACUGAUAACGUAUGCACCCCUUUAAGUAGGAUAGACAAUAUUCACGACAUGGGUGUGUUUUCCAUAGAUAUUUCUAAGCAUAUUAACGUUGACGAAAACAAUCCCCUGAUUCGCCACUAUAGCAUGGCCUCGGGAGGUUGCAACAACGAAAUUAAAAUCUGGACAAUCACAUCGAAAGCUUUAGUAAGAAAUAAGAAUUCGACUCAUAAGCAAGUCACCAUAGAGCUAGAUAAGGUCCUAGAAGGGCACAAUUCGUCUGUAACAUGUUUAAGAUAUAGUAAUGUGGGUAAAUAUCUGGUAUCAAGUAGCUUAGAUAAGUCCCUAAAAGUGUGGGACACUAACAAGAAUGGUGCAUGCUUAAUAAACCUUUAUGGGCAUCAGAGAUAUGUUAAUUGUGUCAGUUUUUCUAAGGAUAUGAGCCUUAUUGCCUCAGGUUCCACAGGUUCGAAUGAUAAACUGGUAAUAAUUUGGGAUCUGACUGGAAAUAUUACCCUGGAAACCGAUCUGGUUAUGCCCCUGGUGAGUCCCAGUGGUGCGGUUGAGACGCAACUAGCGGAAAACAGCGUGGGACAGAGCAGCGAGUGUGAACUUUUAGAGAAAAUCGAGGAUAUCUUCGAUGGUGGGGUGAACAGUUGCUGUUUUUACGGAAAGGAUCUGUUGGCCACCGGAUCUGGGGAUAAGUGUAUAAGGUUAUUCAAGGUUAUGGAGGAAAAUAAUAAUGUAGAGGAGCUGUGCAAUUCACCGUUAGAAGGACACACUUAUGCCAUAAAUUAUGUGGAAUUUUCCAAGGAUGGUACGAAAUUAGCAUCUUCUUCUUUGGACGGUUGUACUUUUAUAUGGAAUCCGCAGAAUGGGGAAAAAUACUUAUCGGUCCCAAAAAACAGCUUGUCAAUCAAAAUUUGCAGAUUCUCCCCGAACGGAAAAUUCUUAGUAACAGGCGGGGACGACGAGAAAGCCGUCAUCUGGAACGUGGACACCAUGGAAGAAAUUUCUGUCCUUGAUGGCCACCUGGACAGCAUAACCUCCGCCUGCAUUACCCCAGACAAUAAAUUCAUAGUUACGGCCUCGUGUAACUCGGACUAUCGCAUCUGGAACCUGGACACCGCCAAGUGCGUUUUUAUUAAAGAAGACGCCCACGACGGCGGUAUCCAGAGUUGCGAUUGUUCAGAAAACUUGGAGCCUAUUCCCAACGUAAUCAGCGAGGGGCAGAAUUACUUGUUGGCCACCUGCGGUAACGACAGUAUGGUGAAACUCUGGAGAAUCUUCUUUGCUGUCGGAGAACAAGACGAUCCGGUAAUAAAACAGUGGCGUCUACUGCAAGGUCACGGAGGAAACGUCAUUUCCGUGAGGUUUUCACCGACCGUUGGGGAAGUGGUGUGCUCCACAGCCACCGACAGACAAGCCAGGAUAUGGUCCGUUUACGGCGGAGACUGCUUGCAUGUGUUGGAUCACGAUUCAAUUGUCACGUGUUGCUCGUUUAGUUCGGAUUGUUCGUUGUUGGCCAUCGGUUGUCUGGAUCGCACUUUGUGGAUUUGGAAGUUGCCGCAACAUCUUGUAUUUCAAACGGCUAUAGCGAGCAAGUUGAAAAGCCACACGAAAACUAUAGCGGAGUGGUCCAAUGGGGAUGUCAUUAAAUGGCUGGAUGAGAUUAAUAUGAGUAGGAUAUCGGAGAAUGUUGUUAAUACGGGUUUGAAUGGGGAAAAGUUGAUGACGCUUACUGAGAAUGAAGUUUGUUGUGGAUUAGAUUUGGAUUACGAGACGGCAGAAAUAAUGACGCGCGAACUAAAAUGGCUAAAAAAGGUGGAGGUACAAAUAGAACGGCCGCCGUCCAUCGACAUCCCCGAAGAGUUCUUGUGCCCCAUCACCCACGAGAUCAUGAGGGAACCGGUAACCUGUUCGGACGGGUUCACGUAUGAAAGAAACGCAAUCGCCGAGUGGUUCAUGUCGGGGAAGUUCAGUAGCCCGAUGACGAACGAGGUGCUGGAUAAUACGGACUUUAGUCCCAAUUUGGAGCUGCGAGAUUCGAUUAGGCGGUUUUUGGAAAGUAGCGAGGAAGAAGAGUAGACGGUUAAAGCAAUAAAUAUUAUUGACUUAGUCUUUAUAUAUGUGCCUUGGGAUUAUAAUUAAAUAAGGAUUUUUUUAGAGACUUUCAUGGAUUGUUUAGAUCCCGAGUUAGCCCAGGGAUUUCAUGGAUUAACUCUCGAAUUAAUAACCCACUAAAUAUUACAUAAGUGUAAUUUUUCUAGAUGGUUUGUAUAGUAUAUUUGUAUAUAACAUAAUUACACUAUAGGACAAAUAGUUACGUGUAAAACCUUACUAAUAUCUAUGUAAUUUUAUUUAAAGGCAACUAAAUGCACUGUUAUGUAAACGAAUAUAUCUAACGAUUUCGUGCCUUUAUUUACAUGAAAUACCUUUUUAUUUAUAUUAUCGAAUGAGUCAAAAUCUGUGAUAUAUAUUGUACGUUAAAAACUUCUAAAUAAAUACUGUUCUGUCUGUUAAAA